UGGGGAAUAUUGCACAAUGGGCGGAAGCCUGAUGCAGCGACGCCGCGUGAGGGAUGACGGCCUUCGGGUUGUAAACCUCUUUCAGUAGGGAAGAAGCGUAAGCGACGGUACCUGCAGAAGAAGCGCCGACUAACUACGUG
rnacentral:rRNA from 1 species